UAGCAGGCCAUUUGGAGACACAAUAGCUUAACCCUAUGCAAAUAUUUUCGGCGGAAGCAGACUACUGGGAGGGAAAGCUGGGCGGCAGAUGGUGCCUCAAAUUAAAAGCUCCUAGGUGGCUGCCCCCUCUAUAUUCGGCACCUGUGUUAGGUCACUGGCUGGGAAUACUGCAAGAACAACCCAUGAAAUAAAUGCUGCUGACAAUCUCCUACGCUCCUGUUACGCGUGGAAUUUGCACUCUCAUCUGGGCUCACUGAGGGUGUGUGGUGCUCUGUGGAGGGGGAAGCACUCUUGGCAGCUCAUGGGUCCAAAGUGAGCCUCAGCUUCAACCAGUGGCCAGAGAGGAAGCUGCAGAAGAGAGUUUGGGCGAAACCCAAGUGAGCAUUAGCUCACUAUCUUCGUCAGCCCACCCUUGUGCUUGUCACUGGCUGCUUCGGUGAUCCUAGACGUGUGCCUGCUUCUCCAGCCGUGCGGGAGACACGCUUCACCUUGGGGCCCCGCCCUUCAAAGGUUGCGUUUGCUGUACGAAGAACAGUUGACUCUGCCCGUAGGGAACGUCUCAUUGCACCCCUUUUCCACACCAUCUGUCUGACCUGGACCCAUUCCAAACGCUCCGGCUUUGCUGGCAGAAUGAUCUUCCUGCUACAGAAGUUUUGUAAUCUACUAAUUGACAGGUAUGAGACAGAUGGCAAAGAAGGAGUUUGCUUUAUUGAAUAAGAUGCAGUCUCGGGCACGGCCGAUCUCCCUGAAUGGUUAAUACCUUCAGUAAUCAUUCUGUCUAGUAAGUAUCUUUACUUUUGUGCAAGGCCUGGUCCUACACUCAGCUCUCAAUUUAAGUGCGAAGUUGUUAUCAAUCCUGUUUUUGUACACAUGAGCUGAGGGCAGAAGGAUCCCAGAGAAGGAAAUACCAGGAAAAUCGUGCUGUUCAAGUUGACAUUUGUGGUUGUCCUCAUCCUGAAAUUGUGUUUUAAAACCCAGUGUGGACUAGCUCCACAUCAGUGAGUGUGGUCAUGCUCCCUGAUCCAGACCCGUGCCCCUGGAACACGGUCCUCUCUGCACAGAAGCUACAUGCAUGUGCCAGAGGUAGUGCAUACAUGUGGUAUGAUGCUGUGCCUUGGUCUCCAUGGGCCCCUCUCCCAUGCAGCCCCCUCAGCUUGCCCUGAACAAUGCUCGGCAUGAGGAAAGAUGAGAAUGAAAGAGGAUUUCUUCCCUACCUUUGAAAACUUCAAAGAAAAUGUUCCCAAUCUGGUUCUGAUGAUCCCAGUCUCAGUGCAAAGCAUACAUAAAGAUCUGAAACCCGCACACGGAUCGGAAAUGGUUUUUGGAAAGUCAGAUUUAAUCCCACGAGCCAAGUGAUCACUACCAACAGAGAUCAGGAAAACCCAAAGUCCACAGCAAAUUUUAAUUUGGCGAAUGCAUAAAAUGUUCAAAAGAGCAGAGGUCUCAUUUACAUUCCUCCCUCUUAUAUGGGAUUUUCUUCCAUAUUAGUAAUUAAAGGAUGCAGGCUCUAGAGCGCAACUAUAUCACAUAAUAGCCAUCGGGGACACACUAACAACUUCCUUGAAGUAACGCACACUAGGGUGUUUAUGGUUCAGUGUCACAUAGACUCUCUUUGAUCUAAAUUAGGAUUCAUUGGCAAACUCACAAUAGGCUCCACAUGUACCCCUCUCAACCUCUUUCUUUUAAUCAUGGAAAUUAGAGAUGGAAAAUACCCAUUAAGUCACUUAGUCCACUUCCCUGCCAGGGUGAAAUUGUUGCCUGUGAUACAUGGGUAAUGCGUGGUCCAGCUUAAAUGUAAAUGUCUCAGGGGACAGGUAGGCUCCUGAUUUUAUAAUGUUCCCCUUUCCCUAACAACUCAGAGGGAGAAAAAUAGAAAACAGAGGAAGAGAUUUCCUUUGCUCCUUCUGGGUUGGGGGUAAAUGUCGGUGGGUGAGUGUCAGCUCUCUGGAUACCACAGCCCUUGCUCUUAUGGCGGUUUCCUCACUUAUAAGGUACACAGAUUCCACCCCUGUCCCCGUCCUGUUGUACCGUGCAGCUCCGUAGGACUCUCCAGAUUCAGAGGCUGCCCCUGUAAACUCGGGCAAGCAAGCAGUGCAGGCUUGGUGAGGGAGGUGCGGCUCAGCAAAGGAGAAGCUGUCUCUUCAGCUUCCUGGUUGAUUGGCUAUGAACUGCACAGGCCCUCCUGGCUGGCGUGUGAUGUCACUGCUGUGGUGUGAGCUCAUGGAUGGAACGCUGCCAAGCCUACCCUGGUGAGUGACCAGCUGAGGUCUUUUAUGCUUUGAACAUUUGGCAUCUGAAAGAUGAGAAAUGUGUGUGUUGCACAAUGAAUGCUCUCCCUGACUCAUGUUCAGCAGCAGAAGACUGUCACUCAGCAUCUGCCCACAUCUCCAGCUGUUGAAGUCAGUUAAUGGGAAAGAAGCAAAAACCCCAUGAUCAUCUCCCCAGUGGGAUCUCCCCACUGAGACGCAGGGCAGUUGCUGA